rnacentral:tRNA from 1 species
AUUCCCUUAGUAUAUUUUAGUAUAUCUCACUUCCAAUGAGAAGGUUUAUUAAUAAAGGAAAUA